rnacentral:lncRNA from 1 species
GUAAAUAAAUAAAAUAUUAAUGACAUGUUCCAUCGGCUAUAUGAGCCGACGAGCUAAGAUAAAGCAUUGUGAACAACAGCCAUAAAAGGAGCCCCUGCUAACCAUGUGCACAUCAAAUAAACUAAUAGAUCUAGUCAAUGUCUUGUCAAGUAUAAUUGAACUUAGAUAAGUUAACACAAAUGCGAGGGCAUUGACAUCAAUCUAUUAAUCUAAAAGAUUAGAACACAGCAAACAAGGACCUCUUACCUAUCGCUUACAAGC